AUUGAACGCUGGCGGCACGCCUUACACAUGCAAGUCGAACGGUAACGCGGGGCAACCUGGCGACGAGUGGCGAACGGGUGAGUAAUAUAUCGUAACGUGCCCAGUAGUGGGGGAUAGCCCGGCGAAAGCCGGAUUAAUACCGCAUACGACCUGAGGGUGAAAGCGGGGGAUCGCAAGACCUCGCGCUAUUGGAGCGGCCGAUAUCAGAUUAGCUAGUUGGUGGGGUAAAAGCCUACCAAGGCGACGAUCUGUAGCUGGUCUGAGAGGACGACCAGCCACACGGGGACUGAGACACGGCCCAGACUCCUACGGGAGGCAGCAGUGGGGAAUUUUGGACAAUGGGCGCAAGCCUGAUCCAGCCAUGCCGCGUGCGGGAAGAAGGCCUUCGGGUUGUAAACCGCUUUUGUCAGGGAAGGAACGCGCUGAGCUAAUACCUCGGCGUAAUGACGGUACCUGAAGAAUAAGCACCGGCUAACUACGUGCCAGCAGCCGCCGUAA
rnacentral:rRNA from 1 species